AGAGCGGGCGGGUCACGGGCCGGGAGCGGGGCUUCACCUCUGCGCCCUGGAGCAGCGGCUCCCACCGCCCCGCGGGGCUGUUUGCGACACGGAGCAAUGCCGACGCGGUACAGCUGCGUUAGGGGGGCAUGCAGGGCAGGUGACAAGGCCCUGAUGUGGGAACUGGAGAGCUGCUGACAGAUGGUGUUGCCUGGAGGACAGCAGAAACUAAAUGGGGCUACCAAACUAUGGAGCAUGGAGCCCUGGAGAAAGCCCGCAGUGAUGGAAAAUGGCAGAGCUGUAUCAAACAAAAAAUUGCAACUGCCAAUUAUUUUUUUCCCUGCGAGAAGAAGAUGCUUUAAUCAUUCAGAUUCUGUCUCCUCGAUGGAUCAGUUGAAUAGUUCAUCUUUUUGGAGGAAAAAAUGUACAUAAAUUAGAACCCCUCAUUGUGAUGCUGUGUUUCUGAAUGACACGUUUCAGACCCAAACAAUAAAUAAUUCUUGGGGCUUUUCUUAUCCUUUAUUAAAAGAACUGAAAGCACA